AGCAGCCGCGGUAAUUCCAGCUCCAAUAGCGUAUAUUAAAGUUGUUGCAGUUAAAAAGCUCGUAGUUGAAUUUCGGGGUUAGCAAGUUGGUCGUGCCUUUGGUAUGCACUGGCUCUGCUGAUUCCUCCUUCUUGAAGAACUGUGAUGCUAUUAAUUUGGUGUUGCAGGGAAACAGGACUGUUACUUUGAAAAAUUAGAGUGUUUAAAGCAGGCUAACGCUUGAAUACAUUAGCAUGGAAUAAUGAAAUAGGACGUUUGAUCCUAUUUUGUUGGUUUCUAGGAUUGACGUAAUGAUUAAUAGGGAUAGUUGGGGGCAUUAGUAUUCAAUUGUCAGAGGUGAAAUUCUUGGAUUUAUUGGAGACUAACUACUGCGAAAGCAUUUGCCAAGGAUGUUUUCAUUAAUCAAGAACGAAAG
rnacentral:rRNA from 1 species